UUUAUUUACUAAAGUAAUCAUGUUUAGAAAUUUUUAGGGAAUAAUGUGAUUUUAAAUGUUUAGGAUCUACUGUUUUGAAAAUAUCAAUUAUAAAAACAAAUGCUAUUCUUCAUUGAAAUUCUCUGUGGGCAGAUCCACUUGUUUCCGAAAAAGUUAGAAAGUGCGCGACAGUGGCGUCCCUUGAUUUCUGCAAAUGGCGGACUCAGCAGACGACGAGAUGUUGCUUGCAACAUCACAAUGUGAAGCAUGUUUUACUGAAGAAGAAGACAAAGCGAAGAUGGUGGGUAAGACCAUGGCUUAAAAUAAGAGCCCAGCAAGGCGCAUAGAAUGCUGUGAUGCUGGAGCUGAGUGCUGAGGAUUCAGACUCUUACAGGAACUUAUAGAGCCUUGUAUCGCAAAGCAGACAACAAAUAUGCGCGAGUGCAUCUCACCUGGCGAAAGGCAUGUUGUGACACUGAGAUUUCUAGCCACAGGAAUUUCAACUGCUGGAAAAAGGGCCAUGAAGUGUUGUAGACAUCACAUGCUCCAGCUCCAGUUAUUUUGGUUUUAUUUAUUUUACACAUUUCCCUUGAAAAUGUGUUUUGGAGGCUGGCUACCUUUGCUUGGAUAUGAGCAACUGCAACAUAGUAGAAUCUUAUUAAAUAAAUAAGCAGCUGCCCAAA